CUUCCUGCAGAACAGCAGGCAAGCACAUGCAGGGCAGACAACUUUCCCGCUGGUGACAGAUUACAAAUGUGCAGAACUAGAUUGAGAGCCAACUUUCCCAGGCUGAAGGAGCAGAGUGGGGAGGAGGGGCUGAGAUGCAGUGAAGGAAAAAUAAUGAUAACAAGUAGAAGAGGAAGUGCUGUGUGGUAGAUCCAGCGUUCGGGUCUCUGUGGCCUGUGGAGAGGACGCACCACAGACUGCCCUGUGCCGCCUGGGCCAAACUGCCCCAGGCUAAGCUGUGCGUUUUUUGGAGCCUACCACAUUGCCUACCCGACGGUCCACCAGGCCCAGGACUGAACAGUAUCCUCUGCGGAGAAAGCAGCUGUGGAAACAGACAUUGAGGAAGCUGUAUCUUCUGGACUUGAAGUCUUUCAAAAACAACUAACAUGCUGUGAGCUGGUGAGACAGCUCAGUGGGUAGGAUGCUUGCCCCAGCCUGUCUCCUCUUAGCCUCUGUCUUACACAUUCUAUAAUGUGUGUUUUCCUAGGAGGGAGCAGUAACAGCUUCUCUUAGGACUUUACCUCCACAGAUGUUCCACUGACUUUUAAGUAUGGAAGUGACCAGUGCUCCUGUAAAGACAUGGACAAAAGGACUACAUGACGUUUCUUGAAAACAAAUACUAGUUUUCUCCAAAGUGGGAAUUUACACUAUGAUGGGCCUGUAUCAUUUACUCAUUUAGAGGUUUGUAUGCAGUGUUGCUCAGAAACAAAACCAGGAGAUGUCAGGAGAAGACAGACAAGAGCACAAAAGCUUUCACUUGAGAUUGUUAGCUGUAUUGGUUCUCUGGGGCUUUGGACAUGAGGGAACUUCUAUUGCACAUGAGAAAGAAGAGCUCCUUUGCCACAGUGAAAACAGAGGCCAGAGGAACAGGGGAAAAGGCCAAAAGUGGUAUUUGAAGCUCAAACUGAGUUUGUGGCAUCACACAUCCCAGUUGUCACCAUGAGCUAAGAAAUCACUUUCUUACAGCCCAGGAAUAACUGGCACUCAUCACAAAUUCAGGUUAUCAAGAAAAGGCAAGAGGAAAACUUGUUCUGAGAUCAGAUAAGACAGCUUGGGACAGGACGACAACGCUCUAUGACAGCAGAGUAACACCCAGGCUUUUGAAACCUUGGGUAUGGUUGAUUUCCCUGAGGUUUUCUCUGAGUAGCCAGUCACCGUGCUCAGUUUGUGGCCCCGGAUCUGCCUGGCACUGUGGAUAUAAACAUGGUAUUUUUCCUGAAGGCAUUUGGACAUUUUCCCUGUGUGUUUCUAACAAUACUCUAGCCACUCACAUGAAUCUAACAAGUGUGGAUUUAUCUAAAUCUUUCUUUAUCCUAUUUAUAUUUGUGGACUAUGCAACAUCUUGAGGAUAAUGAGUUCCAUAUGUUUACUACCCACUGUAUGAAGAAAUGCCAUCUUUUAUUUAUCGUCAAACUACUUUCAUGGAAUUUCAAUGGGUGCUCUGAGUUUUAGCACUCUAGGAUUUGCGUGUGGCCACACUUUACAGCUACAGCCCACCCACAUAAGCAUUUAUGUAGGUAAGAAAUGGGACCCUCUCUAUCUAGGUUCUUGUUCUAGUUUCAUUUCUGUUGCUAUGACAAAGCACUCUACCAAACCCAAUUUUAGAGGAGAAAGGGCUUAUUCAGCUUACAAUUCUAGGUUACCAGACAUCAUGUGGAGAGGUAACAGCAGCGUUGGCUUGAGAAAUUUGGCAGCACCACAUCCAGAGUCAAGAGAAAGGAUAAACAAGUGCACCUAUGCUGCCUGCCUGCUCUCCAAUAGCUUUCUCUACUUUUACAUAGUAAGGACCUAGCCUAGUCAUUGGUGUGGCCCACAGUGGCCUGGGUCUUCUUGUAGCAUGAGUCCUAAUAGGUCAUAAUAAAUAAUCUGCCUUUUUAUCCUAUUCCUAUAGCCUCCUUUUUUUCUUUUCAAAUUAGAUUAAAUAAUCUACCCUUAUAUCUUGUCUAUCUUCCUACGUCAAUUAGCUGUAAAGAUGCUUCCCCCACAGACAUGCCAACAGGCCAACUUGAUCUAAGUGGUUCUUCACUGAGUUUCCCUUUAAGGUUAUGUCAAGUUGACAAACAAAGCUAAAUAGCAUAACACUAUUUAGGAAAGGAUCUCCCCUCUUUCAGACAGAUACAAUCCUGUGCCAUAUCAUGGCCCUGUUGGAGAGUGUUGACUACAUGUCAGCCCUAGCCAGGCUUCCUAACCCCACCCCGUGCCUUUGGCUGGAUGCCCUUCCAGGCUUCAUCUAGGACAGUGAUAGACAGUACCCUCAGCUUAACCACAGACAUCUUUAAAAGAUAUUGAAGAUAUCGAUAUUAUUCUUUCUCAAAGUUCGUCUGCUAAGGGGAGGGAUCUUUAUUUUUUUGUCAACCCCUCCCUAAUUUACAGUCUAUUUCCCAUCUCUGGAGCCUUGGGGCUCAGGCUGAAGAGUCCAGAUGCUCUGCCCUCUCCUCAGAUCCCUCAGAUACCCUGCACUCCCCUCAGGUCCCUCAGAUGCAGUGGUAAGGAUGAGCUGAGUGGUCCAGAGCACCCAGUGGAAGCCAGAGGAUAUGUCUUCUGUGCAUUCCAUAUCUCUGGUUUUAAGCAGACAAACUGUAGGUGAAGAUAUUAGAAUCACAGUUUAGGUUAAUUUGCUCUAGAUCACUAUUAGCUGAUUACAUGUGCACAUGCACGUUGUUGGAGACUUUUCCAUACAGUUUCAAUGCUUCAUGCAGCUCACUUUCAUUUUAUCCUCAUCAAUUCAAAACUAAACCAACUUUAUCUGCCAACUUCAUAUUUUCUUUAAAAUUGCACCCAAAUCCAAAACAGGAUACAAACUUCAGCAAUAUAUGGAUAAUACAACACUUCAGAAAAAAAAAAAGUUGUAUGUCUGCAAGUUUUGCUACUUGGUACCUGGUAUUGCAAAGUCAGAAGAGGACGCUGGAGUGGCUGAGACUAUAGUUACAGACAAUUGUCAUCUGACAUGUGGGUGCUGGAAAUCAAACCCAGUUCCUCCGGGAGAGCAGCCAGUGCCCUUAAGCACUGAGCCCUCCCUCUUGCUUUUUACAAACCACUUUUAAGCUGGGUGUGGUGGCACACACCUUUAGUCCCAGCAUUCAGGAGGCAGAGGCAGGAGGAUCACGUUAAGUUCAAGGCCAGCCUGGUCUGCAU